rnacentral:rRNA from 1 species
GAUGAACGCUGGCGGCGUGCUUAACACAUGCAAGUCGAACGGAAAGGCUCCUGCUUGCAGGGGUACUCGAGUGGCGAACGGGUGAGUAACACGUGGGUGAUCUGCCCUGCACUUCGGGAUAAGCCUGGGAAACUGGGUCUAAUACCGGAUAGGACGAUGGUUUGGAUGCCAUUGUGGAAAGUUUUUUCGGUGUGGGAUGAGCUCGCGGCCUAUCAGCUUGUUGGUGGGGUAAUGGCCUACCAAGGCGUCGACGGGUAGCCGGCCUGAGAGGGUGUACGGCCACAUUGGGACUGAGAUACGGCCCAGACUCCUACGGGAGGCAGCAGUGGGGAAUAUUGCACAAUGGGCGCAAGCCUGAUGCAGCGACGCCGCGUGGGGGAUGACGGCCUUCGGGUUGUAAACUCCUUUCGCUAGGGACGAAGCGCAAGUGACGGUACCUGGAGAAGAAGCACCAGCUAACUACGUG